ACGUGGGCAACCUGCCCCUUAUACUGGGAUAACUCCGGGAAACCGGAGCUAAUACCGGAUAAUCCCUUUCUCCACCUGGAGAGAGGGUGAAAGAUGGCUUCGGCUAUCACUAGGGGAUGGGCCCGCGGCGCAUUAUCUAGUUGGUAAGGUAACGGCUUACCAAGGCGACGAUGCGUAGCCGACCUGAGAGGGUGAUCGGCCACACUGGGACUGAGACACGGCCCACACUCCUACGGGAGGCAGCAGUAUGGAAUCUUCCGCAAUGGACGAAAGUCUGACGGAGCAACGCCGCGUGAGUGAGGAAGGCCUUCGGGUCGUAAAGCUCUGUUGUGAGGGAAGAAGCGGUACCGUUCGAAUAGGGCGGUACCUUGACGGUACCUCACCAGAAAGCCACGGCUAACUACGUGCCAGCAGCCGCGGUAAUACAUAUGUG
rnacentral:rRNA from 2 species